rnacentral:rRNA from 1 species
ACGAACGCUGGCGGCGUGCCUCAUACAUGCAAGUAGAACGCUGAAGGAGGAGCUUGCUUCUCUGGAUGAGUUGCGAACGGGUGAGUAACGCGUAGGUAACCUGCCUGGUAGCGGGGGAUAACUAUUGGAAACGAUAGCUAAUACCGCAUAAUAGUAGAUGUUGCAUGACAUUUGCUUAAAAGGUGCAAUUGCAUCACUACCAGAUGGACCUGCGUUGUAUUAGCUAGUUGGUGGGGUAACGGCUCACCAAGGCGACGAUACAUAGCCGACCUGAGAGGGUGAUCGGCCACACUGGGACUGAGGCACGGCCCAGACUCCUACGGGAGGCAGCAGUAGGGAAUCUUCGGCAAUGGACGGAAGUCUGACCGAGCAACGCCGCGUGAGUGAAGAAGGUUUUCGGAUCGUAAAGCUCUGUUGUAAGAGAAGAACGAGUGUGAGAGUGGAAAGUUCACACUGUGACGGUAUCUUACCAGAAAGGGACGGCUAACUACGUG